rnacentral:rRNA from 1 species
UACGAAGGGGGCUAGCGUUGUUCGGAAUUACUGGGCGUAAAGUGCACGUAGGCGGACUAUUAAGUCAGGGGUGAAAUCCCGGGGCUCAACCCCGGAACUGCCUUUGAUACUGGUAGUCUAGAGUCCGGAAGAGGUGAGUGGAAUUCCGAGUGUAGAGGUGAAAUUCGUAGAUAUUCGGAGGAACACCAGUGGCGAAGGCGGCUCACUGGUCCGGUACUGACGCUGAGGUGCGAAAGCGUGGGGAGCAAACAGG